rnacentral:rRNA from 1 species
CCUACGGGUGACAGCAGUGAGGAAUAUUGGUCAAUGGACGGGAGUCUGAACCAGCCAAGUAGCGUGAAGGAUGAAUGCCCUAUGGGUUGUAAACUUCUUUUAUAAGGGAAUAAAGUGUUCCACGUGUGGGCUUUUGUAUGUACCUUAUGAAUAAGGAUCGGCUAACUCCGUGCCAGCAGCCGCGGUAAUACGGAGGAUCCGAGCGUUAUCCGGAUUUAUUGGGUUUAAAGGGAGCGUAGGUGGAUUGUUAAGUCAGUUGUGAAAGUUUGCGGCUCAACCGUAGAAUUGCAGUUGAAACUGGCAGUCUGGAGUGCAGUAGAGGUAGGUGGAAUGCGUGGUGUAGCGGUGAAAUGCUUAGAUAUCACGAAGAACUCCGAUUGCGAAGGCAGCUUACUGGACUGCAACUGACACUGAGGCUCGAAAGUGUGGGUAUCAAACAGGAUUAGAUACCCUUGUAGUC